GCACAAGUGAAAUAAAUGUCCCCUGCAAGUCAGUUUGUGAGGAAACAGGUGGUACAUGGUUAUUACAAUGCGCAGAGAACAACUCUUGGAAUACAACUGGAAAUAAUUCAAAAGACAACAACUCCUGAACUGCAGCCUUUUGAGUUGGCAUCUAUGAUGGAAUCAGCACCGUGAGUUGCUUUUGCUUCUGGUUCCAUUGAUAUAUUCCACCUUACUUUUGUCACAGCACUGUGUGCUGCAUACCCUUCCUAAGCUCUCUGUUGGACUGGAGGGCAGGCCGCUGCUAAAUCAGGAGAUACUUCCAGACAUCUCUCAGUCACUUCUUACCAAUGUACAGUUCUUUUGGGAAGAAAAUCUCAAUAUUCCAACAUAACCCCCUUGAGUUACUGUAUGUAUCUAAGUAAACAUUUGUGAGAGAUCCAUGAAGCAAUAUCAGAAGACAGUUACUGCUGUAAUAAGGAAACAAGAAUGCUGGAGUGUAAUCAAGUUAAAAUUAUAUGCACAUAAAUAAACGGCAUAAUCAUUUUAUUAAA